UACAGAGGUCUCAAGCGUUGUUCGGAUUCAUUGGGCGUAAAGGGCGCGUAGGCGGCCACCGCAAGUCGACUGUGAAAUCUCUGGGCUUAACCCAGAACGGCCAAGUGAAACUGACAUGCUAGAGUGCAGAAGGGGCAAUCGGAAGUUCUUGGUGUAGCGGUGAAAUGCGUAGAUAUCAAGAGGAACACCUGGAGGUGAAGACGGGGUUGCUGGGCUGACACUGACGCUGAGGCGCGAAAGCCAGGGGAGCAAAGCGGG
rnacentral:rRNA from 1 species